rnacentral:rRNA from 1 species
GUGGCGAACGGGUGAGUAAUACAUCGGAACGUGCCUAGUAGUGGGGGAUAACUACUCGAAAGAGUGGCUAAUACCGCAUGACAUCUAUGGAUAAAAGCAGGGGACCUUCGGGCCUUGUGCUACUAGAGCGGCCGAUGGCAGAUUAGGUAGUUGGUGGGAUAAAAGCUUACCAAGCCGACGAUCUGUAGCUGGUCUGAGAGGACGAUCAGCCACACUGGGACUGAGACACGGCCCAGACUCCUACGGGAGGCAGCAGUGGGGAAUUUUGGACAAUGGGCGCAAGCCUGAUCCAGCAAUGCCGCGUGCAGGAUGAAGGCCUUCGGGUUGUAAACUGCUUUUGUACGGAACGAAAAGCUCUGGGCUAAUACCCUGGAGUCAUGACGGUACCGUAAGAAUAAGCACCGGCUAACUACGUGCCAGCAGCCGCGGUAAUACGUAGGGUGCGAGCGUUAAUCGGAAUUACUGGGCGUAAAGCGUGCGCAGGCGGUUUUGUAAGACAGUGGUGAAAUCCCCGG